AAUGAGCUAAACUGCCAUUUACACGCUCUUGAUAUAAUUGCUACCUCAUGGCUGGGUAUGAUUGUAUGGCAUUUAAAAUAGUUUUGGCUAUGAACAAGUUGAGGUUUAAACAUGGCAAAGGUGAUUUAAAAACAUUUGUUAGUUUUUAGCUGAUCAAAAACUACCACGAGGUAUCAUUCCAAGGUUGUGGGUAACCAUUACCACUCUAUUUAACAAACUUCUCAACUUAACCAAAAUUUACGAAUAGCAGCGAAAAGACUUUUUUUUCAAAAGUAGGCUCGGUUGUGGUCUUUAUCUUUAGCUUGUAGAUUAUACUUGGUGCAAAAAGCCUAAUUCAGGUUGGAGGGGGGGGCACACGCCCCUCCCACAAGUCAAUAAGCACACCACCAAUAAAUGAAAUUCUUGUAGCAAAAAAAUUUUUUAUGUUUUUUAUACUGUGUACUAGUUUCACUUAUUUUAUUAAAUAUAGAAAUAUUUAUUUAUAAUUAGAGAAUUAAAUAUUUUUGAAAUUAGGGUGUGUUAAACCAUCACCACCAUAUCCACCACCAACUUUAAUAAACAUCAAUCAUUGACGGUCUGGAAUAAAAUUAUAGCAAUUUUUUGUAUAAAAAAAAUAACCGUUUGUU